AACAUUGGACAAUGGGCGCAAGCGGGAUCCAAGCAAUGCCGCGUGAGUGAAGAAGGCGUGAGGAUUGUAAAGCACUUUCAGUAGAGAUGAUAAGCUUAAGGUUAAUACCCGUGAGUUUUGACGUUACCUUCAGAAGAAGCUCCGGCUAACUCCGUGCCAGCAGCCGCGGUAACACGGAGGGUGCGAGCGUUAAUCGGAAUUACUGGGCGUAAAGCGCGUGUAGGCGUCUUUGUAAGUCGGAUGGGAAAGCCCAGGGCUUAACCUUGGAAUGGCUUUCGAUAUUGAGUAGCUUGAGUAAGGUAGAGGGAAGCAGAAUUUCCGUGGUAGCGGUGAAAUGUGUGGAUAUCGGAAGGAACACCAGUGGCGAAGGUGACCUCUUGGGCCCACUCAGACGCGGAGGUUAGAAAGCGGAGGGAGCAAACAGGCCUCAUACUCUGGUAGUU
rnacentral:rRNA from 1 species